GGUCGUUGAUUCUCGGUCCAUGCUUCACGGCGUAGCUCUAUGGGGUCAAAUCCAAGGCCGUGACAACCCAAGCCUUCCUUUGUUGCCUCCAUUAGGAGGUGGUUUUUUUAGUUAGAAGGAGAGUUGGCGGUGUUGGGGUUUUCCGCUACAUCUUGGGUCCACCGGUUCUCCCCUCCUUGCUUAUGCAUGCUUUGAGGAUGGCGGGCGGAGCG
rnacentral:lncRNA from 1 species